CAUCGGGAUCGAAGUCGGGCUCGAUGAACAAUUAAUUUAAACAACACGCCGAAAUUCAAAAAUAUCAAAUGCCAUGUUGAUGUUGCACAGAAGAAAAGUUGGAAAGAGAGUGUCUAGAACAGGGGAAUCAUGAUUAGCUUGGGAUGGAAGAAGAUGAAGACAUUUUAAGACCCGUUGCUGCAUUGUGCCUGAGAUCCCCAAAGCGCUGGCGUUUGAUAACUUGGUGGAUGUAGAUGCUUAGCCUAUCAGUCACUAGGCUUGUGAAUAUGGAAUCCGGAUGCUCACAAGGAGAAGAGGCUGUAUGAAAAAAACCAAAAACAGUGAAAAAGAAAUUGUGCAAGGAAAGUUUGAAGUGUCUGUGGGUAUUAUCAACAUCCAACUUUCUGAGCCUUCGUACUGAAAGUGAAUCCGU